rnacentral:rRNA from 1 species
GACUCCAUGAAGCUGGAUUCGCUAGUAAUCGCGCAUCAGCCACGGCGCGGUGAAUACGUUCCCGGGCCUUGUACACACCGCCCGUCAAGCCAUGGAAGCCGGGAGUGCCUGAAGUGCGUGACCGCAAGGAACGCCCUAGGGUAAAACCGGUGACUGGGGCUAAGUCGUAACAAGGUAUC